AAAAAGCGUCAAAGCUUACUAUGUUUAUCCCAAUUCCUUAAUCCCACUCGACCCCUUUAAUUAUACUGAGAACUUCUAUAAGAUUAUAGAACCUUUUAUGCUAAAACUAGUAACAAGAGGCAACCCCUCUCUAAAAUGUAGGUAUACGCCAGCAAGAACCCACCACUGACAACUAACAGGCCUAAAUAAAAGUAGCAACCUCCCAAGAAAACCCUACCCCACCCACUGUUAACCUAAUACCAGAACAUUUCAAGAAAGAUUAAAAGAAAGAGAAGGAAUUCGGCAAACAUUAGUCCCGCCUGUUUACCAAAAACACCGCCUCUUGCUUAUAUAAGAGGUCUAGCCUGCCCAGUGACUUCUGUUCAACGGCCGCGGUAUCCUAACCGUGCAAAGGUAGCGUAAUCACUUGUCUUCUAAAUAAAGACCAGUAUGAAAGGCAUCACGAGGACUAAACUGUCUCCUCUCCCUAAUCAGUGAACCUAAUAACCCCGUGAAGAAGCGGGGAUUUUUAUAUAAGACGAGAAGACCCUAUGGAGCUUAAAACAUCAUAACACCUGCCACACCACUUACUUACCCCGGUUCUCUCCCCCGUGACACCCUGAUUAUAUGUUUUUGGUUGGGGUGACCGCGGAGAAAAACCUAUCCUCCACAAUGAAGGGGACUUCCCCAAGCAGUAAGCCACAACUUUAUGCAUCAGUAAACUGACAUCAUUGACCCAAUAUAUUUGAUUAACGAACCAAGUUACCCUAGGGAUAACAGCGCAAUCCACUUUGAGAGCCCCUAUCGACAAGUGGGCUUACGACCUCGAUGUUGGAUCGGGGUAUCCUAGUGGUGCAGCCGCUACUAAAGGUUCGUUUGUUCAACGAUUAA
rnacentral:rRNA from 1 species